GUUUGGCGUGAGUAGCAGCAAAAGCCCAUAGCAUCAAGAAGCAGGAAGUGAGGAGAAGGUAAGUGAAGGGCAGGCAAGGUAAUGGGAAGCAAAGGCAAGGGGAAAGGGGAGGGUAAGGGAGAAAGAGGGAUGGGAAGGGGAGGGGAGGGGAUGGGUGAAGAGCAGAGCGGAGGGAAGGGCUGAGGGGAGGGCUGAAGGCAAACCAAUGAUGAAAAAAGAAAAGAAAAAAUAAGAACAAAAAAUAUGAAAUAAGAGAAAAAUAAAAAGAAAAAUAAGAAAAAGAGAAAAAAUGAAAAGAAAAAAAGAAAAAAUGAACGAAAAAGAUAAAAUAGAGAAAAGAAAAAAGGAAAUGAACAAAAAAGAGAAAAAAGAGAAAAGAAAAAAAAUGAACAAAAAAGAGAAAAAAGAGAAAAGAAAAAAAAUGAACAAAAAAGAGAAAAAAGAGAAAAGAAAAAAAUGAACAAAAAAGAGAAAAAAGAGAAAAGCUAAAAAAAGAAAAAAGAAAGAAAAGAAAAAAGAGAAAAUAGAAAUAAAAAAGACGACAGAAAAAUAUGAAAAAAAAAAAGAAAAAAGAAAAGAAAAAAAUAACAGAUGAAAAAAGAAGAAACGAAAGGAAAAACGGAUAAUGACAAGAGAAGAAAGGUAAAGAGAAAAGAAGAAAAAAGCCAAGUCAAAAAGUAAAGAAUAACUCGAAGGAAGGAGUGGAUGGCAAGAAAUACAGGG
ensembl:lncRNA